AUUGAACGCUGGCGGCAUGCUUUACACAUGCAAGUCGAACGGUAACAGGCCUUCGGGUGCUGACGAGUGGCGCACGGGUGAGUAAUGCGUCGGAACGUACCCAGAGGUGGGGGAUAACGCAGCGAAAGCUGUGCUAAUACCGCAUGUGAUCUGAGGAUGAAAGCGGGGGACCGAGCAGCAAUGUUUGGCCUCGCGCCUUUGGAGCGGCCGAUGUCGGAUUAGCUAGUUGGUGGGGUAAAGGCCUACCAAGGCGACGAUCCGUAGCUGGUCUGAGAGGACGACCAGCCACAUUGGGACUGAGACACGGCCCAGACUCCGACGGGAGGCAGCAGUGGGGAAUUUUGGACAAUGGGCGCAAGCCUGAUCCAGCAAUGCCGCGUGCGGGAAGAAGGCCUUCGGGUUGUAAACCGCUUUUGGCAGGAACGAAACGGUGUCCGCUAAUACCGGGCGCUAAUGACGGUACCUGCAGAAUAAGCACCGGCUAACUACGUG
rnacentral:rRNA from 1 species